AAGUUAUUAUUCUAACAACCUUAAUGUUUGUAAACCUGGAAUUGCAUUCAUUAAUUGAAAUUAGUUUUUAAAAAAUUAUUAAAAUGUUACUAUGAA